rnacentral:rRNA from 1 species
AUUGAACGCUGGCGGCAUGCUUUACACAUGCAAGUCGAACGGCAGCGCGGGCUUCGGCCUGGCGGCGAGUGGCGAACGGGUGAGUAAUACAUCGGCACGUGCCCAGUAGUGGGGGAUAGCUCGGCGAAAGCCGGAUUAAUACCGCAUACGACCUGAGGGUGAAAGCGGGGGAUCUUCGGACCUCGCGCUAUUGGAGCGGCCGAUGGCAGAUUAGCUAGUUGGUGGGGUAAAGGCCUACCAAGGCGACGAUCUGUAGCUGGUCUGAGAGGACGACCAGCCACACUGGGACUGAGACACGGCCCAGACUCCUACGGGAGGCAGCAGUGGGGAAUUUUGGACAAUGGGCGAAAGCCUGAUCCAGCAAUGCCGCGUGUGUGAUGAAGGCCUUCGGGUUGUAAAGCACUUUGGGCGGGAACGAAAAGGACUGUGCCAAUACCACGGUUCGAUGACGGUACCCGCAGAAUAAGCACCGGCUAACUACGU